AAGCUUGAUGACCUGACUUUGGAGGAGAGGUUCAAUACCCACAAGUUAUCCUCUGAUCUCUACACAGGUGUCAUGACACAGGUGCACUUCCAUACAUCCACACAUAUGCUAAAUACAUACAUAUAAGAAAUGUUAGAGUUUAAUUUAUAAAUUAGGCACAACAGUACCCUAAUAAUACAAUAACUACUAACAAAGUUAUGGGAACAUAGUCUUCUCCCCCCCUUCCCCCGCCCCUCUCCCAACCUUUCUCCUUCUACCCAGUCUCUCCAAGGUCUCACUCUGUAGCCCAGGCUAGCCUUGAACUCCACAUAAGUGCACAAGAACGUCAGCUUGAAACUGAGAUGAUUAAGUCUCAUGACCACACUGCAUAGACUGAUGCUCCCAUCCUGGGAGGGUGGAGGUGCACAGCCUAAGAUAUCAUCAUAUGGGUAGAAUGCUGCACGGUUGGGAACUUGGGUGCUGGAGAGACGGCUCCAUGCUUAAGAACACUGGCUGCUCUUGCAGAAGACCCAGGUUCAGUUCCCAGAACCUACGUGGAAGCUCACAACCAUAUGUAACUCCAGAGACGGGGAUACACUGCCCUCUUCUGGCCACCAUGGGUACUACACCCACGUGGUAGCCAGGCACAGAUGUAGGCAAAUGCUCAUAUACACAAAAAAUAAAAUAAAAAUAAAAAACA
rnacentral:lncRNA from 1 species